UACGUAGGGGGCAAGCGUUGUCCGGAAUCAUUGGGCGUAAAGAGCGUGUAGGCGGCCCGAUAAGUCCGCUGUGAAAGUCCAGGGCUCAACCCUGGGAUGCCGGUGGAUACUGUCGGGCUCGAGUCCGGAAGAGGAGUGUGGAAUUCCUGGUGUAGCGGUGGAAUGCGCAGAUAUCAGGAGGAACCCCCAUAGCGAAGGCAGCUCGCUGGGACGGUACUGACGCUGAGGCGCGAAAGCGUGGGGAGCGAACAGG
rnacentral:rRNA from 1 species